rnacentral:rRNA from 1 species
UACGUAGGGUGCGAGCGUUGUCCGGAAUUAUUGGGCGUAAAGGGCUCGUAGGCGGUUUGUCGCGUCGGGAGUGAAAACCUCGGGCUUAACUCGGGGCUUGCUUUCGAUACGGGCAGACUGGAGGUAUGCAGGGGAGAACGGAAUUCCUGGUGUAGCGGUGAAAUGCGCAGAUAUCAGGAGGAACACCGGUGGCGAAGGCGGUUCUCUGGGCAUGACCUGACGCUAAGGAGCGAAAGUGUGGGGAGCGAACAGG